UUCAGACAAGGAUUCUGGGAACAGGGCCAUGCAAAAUGUGCCCAUCACCCUGACGGGGGCAACAGCAAGCUCACCGGAGUCCUCUGUCCUGGGCCGAAGGUGGAUCGGCCCUGUGCUUCCGCUUUCGCCACUCGACAUCACACGUCUUCUAGACGAAGAUCCUUCCUCUCCCGGGGAUCAAACUGAUGGAAUCAUUUGGCUAUCAAUUAAAAAAAUCAAUCCUAGAAUAUGUAUGAUGGACAGGAAAGAAAAAUGAAUAAUCCUUGUCUACCGGAUGAAAAAAACACCAAGC